CAGGUUCCGAUGCGAGUACAGGUUGGACAGCA
rnacentral:piRNA from 1 species